rnacentral:rRNA from 1 species
AUUGAACGCUGGCGGCAUGCCUUACACACGCAAGUCGAACGGUAACAGGUCUUCGGAUGCUGACGAGUGGCGAACGGGUGAGUAAUGCAUCGGAACGUGCCCAGUAGUGGGGGAUAGCCCGGCGAAAGCCGGAUUAAUACCGCAUACGACCUGAGGGUGAAAGGGGGGGAUCGCAAGACCUCUCGCUAUUGGAGCGGCCGAUGUCGGAUUAGCUAGUUGGUGGGGUAAAGGCCUACCAAGACGACGAUCUGUAGCUGGUCUGAGAGGACGACCAGCCACACUGGGACUGAGACACGGCCCAGACUCCUACGGGAGGCAGCAGUGGGGAAUUUUGGACAAUGGGCGAAAGCCUGAUCCAGCCAUGCCGCGUGCGGGAAGAAGGCCUUCGGGUUGUAAACCGCUUUUGUCAGGGAAGAAACGGCUUAAUCUAAUAAAUUGAGCUAAUGACGGUACCUGAAGAAUAAGCACCGGCUAACUACGUGCCAGCCGCCGCGGUAACAC